rnacentral:rRNA from 1 species
GAUGAACGCUGGCGGCGUGCCUAAUACAUGCAAGUCGAGCGAACGGACGAUAAUCUUGCUUCUCUGAUGUUAGCGGCUGACGGGUGAGUAACACGUGGAUAACCUACCUAUAAUACUUGGAUAACUUCGGGAAACCGUAUCUAAUACCGUAUAAUAUUUUGAUCCGCAUGUUUCUAUAGUUUAUGUCGGUUUUUCUUUCUCUUUUAGAUGUAUCCGCGCUGCAUUAGCUAGUUGGUAAGGUAACGGCUUACCAAGGCAACGAUGCAUAGCCGACAUGAGAGGGUGAUCGGCCACACGGGAAGUGAGACACGGAACAGAGAACGACGGGAGGCAGCAGUAGGGAAUAGGACGCAAUGGGCGAAAGCAUGACGGAGCAAAGCAGAGGGAGUGAUGAAGGACUGAGGAUCGUAAAACGAGGUUAUUAGGGAAGAAAAUAAGUGUAAGAAAAAGAGAAAAGAAUGACGGUAACAAAAAAGAAAGCAACGGCUAACUACGUG